rfam:Triticum aestivum genome assembly, contig: Triticum_aestivum_CS42_TGACv1_scaffold_001353_1AL
CUUCUACUCCCUCUGUCCGGAAAUACUUGUCAUCAAAAUAAAUAAAAGGGGAUGUAUCUAGAUGUAUAUUAGUUCUAGAUACAUCUCUUUUUAUCCAUUUUGAUGACAAGUAUUUUUGGACGGAGCCACGGAGGGAGUACUAA